rnacentral:tRNA from 2 species
UAGAAGGUGGUGUAGUGGAAGCACCUGGAGUUUUGAUCUCUUGGGUAUGGGUUCGAAUCCCAUCUUUCUAG